CCUACGGGCGUCAGCAGUGAGGAAUAUUGGUCAAUGGACGCAAGUCUGAACCAGCCAUGCCGCGUGCAGGAAGACGGCCCUAUGAGUUGUAAACCGCUUUUGUACGAGGGUAAACGCAGAUACGCGUAUCUGUCUGCAAGUACCGUACGAAUAAGCAUCGGCUAACUCCGUGCCAGCAGCCGCGGUAAUACGGAGGAUUCAAGCGUUAUCCGGAUUUAUUGGGUUUAAAGGGUGCGUAGGCGGUCGGAUAAGUUAGUGGGGAAAUCUCGGGGCUCAACCUCGGAAUUGCCUUUGAUACUGUUCGGCUAGAGAGUAGUUGAGGUAGGCGGAAUGUAUGGUGUAGCGGUGAAAUGCUUAGAGAUCAUACAGAACACCGAUUGCGAAGGCAGCUUACCAGGCUACUUCUGACGUUGAGGCACGAAAGCGUGGGGAGCAAACAGGAUUAGAUACCCUGGUAGUC
rnacentral:rRNA from 1 species